CUUAUUUCUCUUCAUUCUCCAAACUUUCACGCUUCACCACCACCACUUGCUCCGUCUCCAUCUAUCUCUCCUGCAUUUUAGAGUCAAUCCCAGUUAUACUUUCAACCUAAUUCGUUCAAUGGAUUCAACACCCAUCUCCAAUUUCUGGAAACACUUCAAUUAUAACCAAGAACCCUACCUUAUGAUUAACCAAACCCUAAUUCUCCAUGUCUCUUUACUGUUUCAGAAUCAAUUGUUGAUUCUUCUCCCUAAAUAUCAACAACGAACUACUCAUCCAAUUAAUCGAUCAAUAACAAACAAUCUCGUGACGAACAAGCGAAUAUGGUUAGUCGAGGUUGUGAAGUUAUUAUUGCAACUCCUGCACAUUUGCUCGAUUGUUUGGAGAACCAAGCUUCUCAAUAAAUUGGGAAAGAAUGAAGUGGCUGCAAGAUGAAUGGAAGAUGGGAAGAAUAUGGGAAUCGUGCUUGUCAUGGGUAUGAGAAUGGAUUUGAGCAGACUUUGAAGUGAAGACACAGCUGCUGGUGAAGAUUCCUUCGGUUCUUUAAUUCCAUGUUUAUUCUUUCUGAUUCCACAUCAUGGGGUAUACUUGUAAACUCAUAAUUUUACAGUAUUUUUAUUUUGUAAAACUAAUUAAAGUCUGGUCA